rnacentral:rRNA from 1 species
UACGAAGGGGGCUAGCGUUGCUCGGAAUGACUGGGCGUAAAGGGCGCGUAGGCGGAUUGCUUUGUCGGGCGUGAAAUUCCAGGGCUUAACCUUGGGGCUGCGUUCGAGACGGGUGAUCUUGAGUUCGGAAGAGGGUCGUGGAAUUCCCAGUGUAGAGGUGAAAUUCGUAGAUAUUGGGAAGAACACCGGUGGCGAAGGCGGCGACCUGGUCCGAGACUGACGUGAGGCGCGAAAGCGUGGGGAGCAAACAGG